rnacentral:rRNA from 2 species
UGAGGAAUAUUGGUCAAUGGGCGAUGGCCUGAACCAGCCAAGUAGCGUGAAGGAUGACUGCCCUAUGGGUUGUAAACUUCUUUUAUAAAGGAAUAAAGUCGGGUAUGCAUACCCGUUUGCAUGUACUUUAUGAAUAAGGAUCGGCUAACUCCGUGCCAGCAGCCGCGGUAAUACGGAGGAUCCGAGCGUUAUCCGGAUUUAUUGGGUUUAAAGGGAGCGUAGAUGGAUGUUUAAGUCAGUUGUGAAAGUUUGCGGCUCAACCGUAAAAUUGCAGUUGAUACUGGAUGUCUUGAGUGCAGUUGAGGCAGGCGGAAUUCGUGGUGUAGCGGUGAAAUGCUUAGAUAUCACGAAGAACUCCGAUUGCGAAGGCAGCCUGCUAAGCUGCAACUGACAUUGAGGCUCGAAAGUGUGGGUAUCAAACAGG